rnacentral:rRNA from 1 species
GAUGAACGCUGGCGGCGUGCCUAAUACAUGCAAGUCGAGCGAACAGACGAGGAGCUUGCUCCUCUGACGUUAGCGGCGGACGGGUGAGUAACACGUGGAUAACCUACCUAUAAGACUGGGAUAACUUCGGGAAACCGGAGCUAAUACCGGAUAAUAUAUUGAACCGCAUGGUUCAAGAGGGAAAGACGGUUUUGCUGUCACUGAUAGAUGGAUCCGCGCCGCAUUAGCUAGUUGGUAAGGUAACGGCUUACCAAGGCAACGAUGCGUAGCCGACCUGAGAGGGUGAUCGGCCACACUGUAACUGAGACACGGUCCCGACUCCUACGGGAGGCAGCAGUAGGGAAUCUUCCGCAAUGGGCGAAAGCCUGACGUAGCAACGCCGCGUGAGUGAUGAAGGUCUUCGGAUCGUAAAACUCUGUUAUUAGGGAAGAACAAAUGUGUAAGUAACUAUGCACGUCUUGACGGUACCUAAUCAGAAAGCCACGGCUAACUACGUG